rnacentral:lncRNA from 1 species
AGAGAAGAGAACUGUUGUUACUGAGUGUCUACAAUAUAUCAGGUGCUAUGCUAGGUGUUUUGUACACAUUAUCUCAAGUAUUGUAUUCCCAUUUUACAGACAAACUGAGAUUCAUCAAGGUUUGCCUUGGUGACACCAGCUACUAUGCCAUAAAGCUGAACCUAGUUCUCUCUGAACCCAAAGUCUAUAUCCUUCUACCACAACAUGUUAUCUCCACAGAAACGGAACCAAGAUGUUUGGGAAAUGGCCAGGGAAUCAGUACACGUUAAGGACCGAUCCUGAGUGAGAUUCGCCUGGAACCGUAAGAGGACAAAUAGAAACACAAGCCUGAAUGCUCAGCGCCGUUGAUUGGCCAGCUGGGCCCUGCAUUCAAAGAAUUCUCUGUUAGAGGCUCUUCCCUGAUUCAGCCGUUAUAUAGAUAUUAGCACAACUGGCUUCUUUGGCCUUUGAAACCAGUGAGUAGCUUGUGUAAAUAUUAAACUGGAGAGAAAUGCCAUUGUGUGAACUCAAUGUUUGUUCCUCUGCUGGCCCCAUGAACAUUAGCGUUUGCAGAAAAAGUUGUUGACAACUGCUUACUCUGGUCCUCUAAGCAAAGAGCACUAGAAGACUAGUAUUUGUAUUAGGAAGCCACCAUAUUGACACCCGAAGGAGAAGAGCAUCAGAUAGAGCUCCUCUUUUUCUGGGAAGCUGAAAGGCUUUUUGAAAGCACUGGCUGUGAGGAAAAAGAAAGGAAGUCCAGCAUAAUACCAAAAGAUAGAAUUUAUCGUAAAGUUUUGUGUGAGCCAGUUUGGUGUUGGUUGAGAAUACUUGAAUUACAGGAAAUGGUCAGAUAAAGCCUUUUCUGUUUGCUAGCACAGCUGAACACACAUGUAAGUGAUCUGAGUUAGGGGUUGAUCAGUUGAUUUUAGGCCAUUUGUUCAUUAAAACAAAAUUCCAUUUUUAAGAUUCAGUCCAUCCAAUUGAAAAGCAUUUUGAUCCCUGUUAAAAUGUAAACAUCCUUGGGCAGGGUAACUCUUAUAUAAGUUAAUUCUUUUAUCAGCUGUGCUUUUCUGGACCUUUUUAUCUCAAGCAGGGUCAGAAAACUUUUCCUGUAAAGGACCAGGUAAUAAACAUUUUUAGUUUUGUCA